rnacentral:rRNA from 1 species
GACGUGGGGGGCGAGCGUUAUCCGGAAUUACUGGGCGUAAAGCGCAUGUAGGUGGGAAAAUAAGUCGAAUGUGAAAUCUUUGGGCUUAACCCAGAGUCUGCGUUCGAUACUGUUUUUCUGGAGAACAAUAGGGGAAAGCGGAACUCCCGGUGUAGCGGUGAAAUGCGUAGAUAUCGGGAGGAACACCAGUGGCGAAGGCGGCUUUCUGGAUUGAUUCUGACACUGAGAUGCGAAAGCGUGGGGAG